UAGGGGCUCCAGUGCUGCAACUCCAGCCUGGAGGCCCUCAGCAGCUUUCUGGCUGUACAGUUGGAGGUGCUUGAGUCAUUGGUGUGUGAGAGCAGUCUACCUGCCCCGCCCGGCCCACUGUUGCUCUGGCAACCCUCAGUCCUACUGGGGGGGAUUCUACCAGCGCAGCUAGGCUGGGGGGGCGGACAAC